rnacentral:rRNA from 1 species
AGUGAACGCUGGCGGUAGGCCUAACACAUGCAAGUCGAACGGCAGCACAGUAAGAGCUUGCUCUUACGGGUGGCGAGUGGCUGACGGGUGAGGAAUACAUCGGAAUCUACUUUUUCGUGGGGGAUAAUGUAGGGAAACUUACUCUAAUACCGCAUACGACCUAUGGGUGUAAGCAGAUGAUCUUCCUACCUUGCGCGAUUGAAUCUUCUGAUUCCGGAUUAGCUAGUUGGCGUGGUAAAGGCCCACUAAGGCGACGAUCCGUAGCUGGUCUGAGAGGAGGAUCAGACACACUGGGACAGCGCCACGUUCAAGACUCCUACGGAGGGCAGCAAUGGGAAAUAUUGGACAAUGGGCGCAAGCCUGAUCGAGCCAUAGCGAGUGGGUGAAGAAGGCAUUCGGGUUGUAAAGCCCUUUUGUUGGGAAAGAAAAGCAGCAGGUUAAUACCCCACUGUUAUGACGGUACCUAAAGAAUAAGCACCGGCUAACUCCGUG